rnacentral:rRNA from 1 species
AACGCGAAGAACCUUACCCAGGCUCGAAAUGCAGAUGACCAUCGGCGAAAGCCGACUCCCGCAAGGGCAACUGUAUAGGUGCUGCAUGACUGUCGUCAGCUCGUGUCGUGAGAUGUUGGGUUAAGUCCCGCAACGAGCGCAACCCUCGCCGUCUGUUGUAUCUCUCAGACGGGACUGCCGAGAGAAACUCGGAGGAAGGUGGGGAUGAUGUCAGGUCCGCGUGGCCCUUAUGCCUGGGGCUACACGCACGCUACAAUGGCCGGUACAACGGGCUGCGAAACCGCGAGGUGGAGCUAAUCCCUUAAAGCCGGUCUCAGUUCGGAUCGUAGGCUGCAACUCGCCUACGUGAAGCCGGAGUUGCUAGUAACCGCAGGUCAGCACACUGCGGUGAAUAUGUUCCCGGGCCUUGUACACACCG